CCCACUGUUCCCAGGCCGUCAUUGAAAAUAAGAAUUUGUUCUUAACUGACUUGUCUAGUUAAAUAAAUAAAAUAUGUAAAGAUUGAUAUGGAGAGAGGGACAGAGAGAGAUAAAGAGAGGAUAUGGAGGGAGGUGUGGGGGGGACUGUAUAUGGAGAGAGGGAUAGAGAGAGAUAAAGAGAGGAUAUGGAGAGAGGUGUGGGGGGGGACUGUAUAUGGAGAGAGGGAUAGAGAGAGAUAAAGAGAGGAUAUGGAGGGAGGUGGGGGGACUGUAUAUGGUAGAGAGGGAUAGAGAGAGAUAAAGAGAGGAUAUGGAGAGAGGUGUGGGGGGGGACUGUAUAUGGUAGAGAGGGAUAGAGAGAGAUAAAGAGAGGAUAUGGAGAGAGGUGUGGGGGGGGACUGUAUAUGGUAGAGAGGGAUAGAGAGAGAUAAAGAGAGGAUAUGGAGGGAGGUGUGGGGGGGACUGUAUAUGGAGAGGGAUAGAGAGAGAUAAAGAGAGGAUAUGGAGAGAGGUGUGGGGGGACUGUAUAUGGUAGAGAGGGAUAGAGAGAGAUAAAGAGAGGAUAUGGAGAGAGGUGUGGGGGGGGACUGUAUAUGGUAGAGAGGGAUAGAGAGAGAUAAAGAGGGGAUAUGGAGGGAGGUGUGUGGGGGGACUGUAUAUGGUAGAGAGGGAUAGAGAGAGAUAAAGAGUGGAUAUGGAGAGAGGGACAGAGAGAGAUAAAGAGGGGAUAUGGAGGGAGGUGUGGGGGGGACUGUAUAUGGAGAGAGGGAUAGAGAGAGAUAAAGAGAGGAUAUGGAGAGAGGUGUGGGGGGGGGGACUGUAUAUGGAGAGAGGGAUAGAGAGAGAUAAAGAGGGGAUAUGGAGAGAGGUGUGGGGGGGACUGUAUAUGAUAGAGAGGGAUAGAGAGAGAUAAAGAGAGGAUAUGGAGGGAGGUGUGGGGGGGACUGUAUAUGGAGAGAGGGAUAGAGAGAGAUAAAGAGAGGAUAUGGAGGGAGGUGUGUGGGGGGACUGUAUAUGAUAGAGAGGGAUAGAGAGAGAUAAAGAGAGGAUAUGGAGGGAGGUGUGUGGGGGGACUGUAUAUGAUAGAGAGGGAUAGAGAGAGAUAAAGAGAGGAUAUGGAGGGAGGUGUGUGGGGGGACUGUAUAUGAUAGAGAGGGAUAGAGAGAGAUAAAGAGAGGAUAUGGAGGGAGGUGUGGGGGGACUGUAUAUGAUAGAGAGGGAUAGAGAGAGAUAAAGAGAGGAUAUGGAGGGAGGUGUGUGGGGGACUGUAUAUGAUAGAGAGGGAUAGAGAGAGAUAAAGAGAGGAUAUGGAGAGAGGUGUGGGGGGGACUGUAUAUGGAGAGAGGGAUAGAGAGAGAUAAAGAGAGGAUAUGGAGAGAGGUGUGGGGGGGGACUGUAUAUGGAGAGAGGGAUAGAGAGAGAUAAAGAGAGGAUAUGGAGGGAGGUGUGGGGGGGGACUGUAUAUGGAGAGAGGGAUAGAGAGAGAUAAAGAGAGGAUAUGGAGGGAGGUGGUGGGGGGGGACUGUAUAUGGAGAGAGGGAUAGAGAGAGAUAAAGAGGGGAUAUGGAGGGAGGUGUGGGGGGGACUGUAUAUGGAGAGAGGGAUAGAGAGAGAUAAAGAGAGGAUAUGGAGGGAGGUGUGGGGGGGGACUGUAUAUGGUAGAGAGGGAUAGAGAGAGAUAAAGAGAGGAUAUGGAGGGAGGUGUGGGGGGGACUGUAUAUGGUAGAGAGAGAUAGAGAGAGAUAAAGAGGGGAUAUGGAGGGAGGUGUGGGGGGGGACUGUAUAUGGUAGAGAGGGAUAGAGAGAGAUAAAGAGAGGAUAUGGAGGGAGGUGUGGGGGGGGGACUGUAUAUGGUAGAGAGAGAUAGAGAGAGAUAAAGAGGGGAUAUGGAGGGAGGUGUGUGGGGGGACUGUAUAUGGAGAGAGGGAUAGAGAGAGAUAAAGAGAGGAUAUGGAGGGAGGUGUGGGGGGGGACUGUAUAUGGAGAGAGGGAUAGAGAGAGAUAAAGAGGGGAUAUGGAGAGAGGUGUGGGGGGGACUGUAUAUGGUAGAGAGGGAUAGAGAGAGAUAAAGAGGGGAUAUGGAGAGAGGUGUGGGGGGACUGUAUAUGGUAGAGAGGGAUAGAGAGAGAUAAAGAGGGGAUAUGGAGAGAGGUGUGGGGGGACUGUAUAUGGUAGAGAGAGAUAGAGAGAGGAUAUGGAGGGAGUGUGGGGGGACUGUAUAUGGUAGAGAGGGAUAGAGAGAGAUAAAGAGGGGAUAUGG